rnacentral:rRNA from 1 species
UACGUAGGGUGCGAGCGUUAAUCGGAAUUACUGGGCGUAAAGCGUGCGCAGGCGGUUUUAUAAGACAGGUGUGAAAGCCCCGGGCUCAACCUGGGAAAGGCAUUUGAGACUGUAAGACUAGAGUGCGGUAGAGGGGGAUGGAAUUCCGCGUGUAGCAGUGAAAUGCGUAGAUAUGCGGAGGAACACCGAUGGCGAAGGCAAUCCCCUGGCCCUGUACUGACGCUCAUGCACGAAAGCGUGGGGAGCAAACAGG